GACGAACGCUGGCGGCGUGCCUAAUACAUGCAAGUAGAACGCUGAAGAGAGGAGCUUGCUCUUCUUGGAUGAGUUGCGAACGGGUGAGUAACGCGUAGGUAACCUGCCUUGUAGCGGGGGAUAACUAUUGGAAACGAUAGCUAAUACCGCAUAACAAUGGAUGACACAUGUCAUUUAUUUGAGAGGGGCAAUUGCUCCACUACAAGAUGGACCUGCGUUGUAUUAGCUAGUAGGUGAGGUAAUGGCUCACCUAGGCGACGAUACAUAGCCGACCUGAGAGGGUGAUCGGCCACACUGGGACUGAGACACGGCCCAGACUCCUACGGGAGGCAGCAGUAGGGAAUCUUCGGCAAUGGGGGCAACCCUGACCGAGCAACGCCGCGUGAGUGAAGAAGGUUUUCGGAUCGUAAAGCUCUGUUGUAAGUCAAGAACGGGUGUGAGAGUGGAAAGUUCACACUGUGACGGUAGCUUACCAGAAAGGGACGGCUAACUACGUG
rnacentral:rRNA from 1 species